UACGUAGGGGCAAGCGUUAUCCGGAUUUAUUGGGUUUAAAGGGUGCGUAGGCGGGACUGUAAGUCAGGGGUGAAAUACUGCAGCUUAACUGUAGCAUUGCCUUUGAAACUGCCGUUCUUGAGUACAGUUGAGGUAGGCGGAAUGUGGUGUGUAGCGGUGAAAUGCAUAGAUAUACCACAGAACGCCGAUUGCGAAGGCAGCUUACUAAGCUGUUACUGACGCUGAGGCACGAAAGCGUGGGGAUCAAACAGGAUUAGAUACCCCCGGUA
rnacentral:rRNA from 1 species